rnacentral:rRNA from 1 species
UACGUAAGGGGCAAGCGUUGUCCGGAAUUACUGGGCGUAAAGAGCGCGUAGGCGGUGAGGUAAGUUGUAUGUGAAAUCCACAGGCUUAACUUGUGGAAGUCGUACAAUACUGCUUUCCUUGAGGCAAGGAGAGGGGAGUGGAAUUUCCGGUGUAGCGGUGAAAUGCGUUGAUAUCGGAAAGAACACCCGUGGCGAAGGCGGCUCCCUGGUCUUGUCCUGACGCUGAGGCGCGAAAGCUAGGGUAG